rfam:Pteropus alecto contig75870, whole genome shotgun sequence.
GGUUCCAUAGUGUAGCGAUUAGUGCGUCUGCUUUACAAGCAGAAGGUCCUGGGUUCGCACCCCAGUGUAGCCA